GUUUGAGAGGCGCGCCUCUGGCGGCCGUUGAAAAAUGGCGACUGUCACCGAGCUGAAGGCUGUUUUAAAGGACACCUUGGAAAAAAGGGGAGUUUUAGGGCAUUUGAAAGCAAGGAUUCGAGCUGAAGUUUUCAAUGCCCUAGAUGAUGAAAGUGAACCCCGACCAUCAUUGUCUCAUGAAAACCUUCUAAUUAACGAAUUAAUUCGGGAAUACUUGGAAUUCAACAAAUAUAAAUACACAGCAUCUGUUCUCAUAGCAGAAUCUGGCCAACCUCUCGUUCCAUUAGACAGACAGUUUCUCAUCCGUGAACUAAAUGCAUUUGAAGAAUCAAAGGAUAAUACAGUACCUCUUUUAUAUGGAAUUUUAGCUCAUUUCUUACAUGGGACUAAGAAUGACUUCCCAACUGCAUCUCUGAAAAAGUCUUCUCUUCAGCUUCCAAAGGCAAAUCUUGCCAGACACCCAACUGGGAGAAAGCAAACAGAGUGAACUCUGCGAGCAAUGACUUGUGAGGAACUGUCAGGCAGAACUUUUCAUUCUGUUCCGGUGACGCAUUUCACUUUCAUGUGGUGGGCUUUCCGCCUGAAAGAUACCGAGUUUUAUUGGCAGCAGUGACAAGAGGACCUAAGGAAGAAGGGGAAAGUAUGAAUAUUGAAGAUCCUCAAGCAUCUCAAGCAGUGAAGAGAUGACAUUCCCACUGGGGCGUCUUUUAUUUUAAACUUUAUAUGUAUUAAAUUAUUUAUUCUCCUGAGGUUACCAAAAUGCAUUACCGGUAUUGUCCUUUGACUUUCCGAAAAACAUCGAGCCCUCUAUGGCCUAACUGCAUUGUGAAUAUAAGCUCCAGCUGUCAUUGGAUUUAACUGGGGGAAAAAAUGUAGUUUUUAGGGAGCAUUUUAAAGGCCCCUUAAAUCUGUGAGAAACAUAACGGUUUUUCAUAACCUAAAUGUUCUUUUAAGAAAAUCAGGCCUCCAUAGAUAGCCAUAUGCUCUGCUCUUCCACAAGGUACCUUAUAAACAAUUUUUAGGCUAGAAUUAGGUGGACUUGUGGGAAAAGCCAUGCAAGCUUAAAAAAAAUUUUUUUAAAGAAUACUAUGGCCAGAAAAAAUUUAACUCCUAUAAAGUUUGAUCUUUUCUUUUUGGCUUGGCUAUUUUUCAGCAACUAUUUAUAGUUAGGUUUAACUCUCUGAAUUACUACCCAAGUUGAAGUCUUAGCUAGGUAACAAUGUGCUUUUUCUUCCCUUAACUCAUUUUGGCUUCUUCUAGGAGAUUUAAUUAAAUGGUAGACAGGGAAAUAAUUCCUUUGACUUUGCUGUAAGUGAAACAAAGAGUUUAUUUUAUUAUAUAAAGAAUGUAGACUAAGCACGAAGACACAAGUUUUAGGAGAAAUACCAAAAAGUACCUUUUAAAAGAUGGCCUUGUUUAACCUCCAUGUGACUUUCAGUGGUGCAGUUUCAAAAUGAGCUGUGUAAGGGCCAAUCCCUACCCAGUUGGGGUAUAGCAGACUUAUUAAAUGUAAUUUUUUUGCUUUCAGGAUAGAAAAACAGUAAGAACUCAUACUGCUAGCUCUAAAAUGCUACUUUGAUGCUUACUAAGACAUUCUAUAAUGUGGAGACCAUAGACUGAUUUCACUAAAAACAACUGGUGAUGCCUGGUCAGCAAAAGUCAGAAGGAAUAUCCAGAAUAAAACCACACAGCAUCUAUACAGCGACACUUGCUUGAACAUGUCCAUACGGAAGUGAGAAAAGAGCUAUUGUUGGCAACACUGGCAUUCUCUUCAGGGUGUUAAAUCUGCUGCCCUUGGAAUUUACUGAAACGUUUUAUAUCUGGUGCUAGUUAAUAUUUAGUCCUUACAGAUUAACCAAUAAUUUGAUCUAAAUGCAAAAAAUUAUUAAAUGAUACUUUACGAUUGUCAAAGAAUUUUGAGAGACCCUCUUAGUGGACUAAAAUUACAUUUAGGUGUAGACGUAUUUAUAAGGUCUCACUUCCAUUUCUUAAAUGAAAUCUGUAGGAUCUGGUUACAAUUAGGAAUUCCAUUGUAUGUGGGAAUAUAAAUAUCUGAAUUAUUCCCAGAGGACUUGGUUUGUAUCCAAGGAUGUUGGCAGUGGACACUUAAGUUUACCUCAGGAAUUGCAAUUAUGCAUGACUAGAUUAAGAAAAAAUGCUGGAGUAUAACAUUUUGGAUACUGAUAUAAAAUCAACAAAUUAGAAGCAAUGCAUUAUUAUAUAUGCAUUAUUCUGUGAUUUGUUUGUACCUAGGCAACUUUUAUACUUUAAGUGUAUUAUUUAAUAAAAAUAUAAGCCACUCACCUUUGUUCCAAGGAUGUUCCUAAUGAAUCUUCUGUCAUCUAGAGAUGUACACCAGAACCAGAAGGAUUGGAGGUAACCCCAGGCUUGCUUUCAGGAUCUCCAGGAGCCUGGUGUCAGGUGAGGGAGAGCUUCUCCUGGUUGUACUUUUAUCAGCCGUAUCACAGAGACCAUGUGGGGGCUGGUAGGGCCCUGUAUGGUUAGAAAAAGCAUGUUUUUUCCAUUUGGUUUACAUUUUCUUUUUAUUUGGAAAAGAGAAACACCUAGUCACAAAGACUUCUAUAGCUGUCUACAAAGGAAGACUUUGCUGAGAAAAUCUGCUCUAGCAUUUUCUAUAUUCAGGAGUUUUGAAGUGUCAGGUUAUAAUCCAGGAGUUUAACAAGGAGCAUAGGCUGAGACAUUAAAACAACCCAAGUUGUAAGAAAAGACAUGUAAAUACAAAGGAACCCAUCAAAUUACUCUCAUGAACAUGAACUAAAUUAGAGUAUCAUUCCUGGUGGAUUUUGUGGGGUUAUUGGGAAAAGUUAACUUUCCAGAAAACAAGUUUUAGCAGAAAACUUGGAUUUACACAAAAAUAGAUUGGAAAUGAAAACUAGGGAAGGAUUUCUAAAAGGUGGAAACUUAAAACUUGGCCAUUCUAGAAACUCCUAGCAGGAGCAGAGGUGGCUUUUGAAGAUGAUACAUUUAAGCUUAGCAUAUGUUUGCAAAGAAUAAACUAAUAGCUUUAUAAUUAUGUGCAAGAACACAUUUGUGUAUGACUCACAUGCCUGUGUGAUUAUAUAAAAUUUGAUGUGUUCUUUUAACCUAAAGCCAAGUGUACAUAAAAGAUUAACAUUUGUGAGAAGCUGCCUUUAAAGGCAUUUGGGCAAUGCUUUCCCAGCUACUUGGUAUUUGGCUUUUCUAACAACAGUACUGUAAGGAUUAUGUGGUCUUUAUCUUUUUAAAAAUUAAGGUAAGGUUCAAAAU